rnacentral:rRNA from 1 species
UACGUAGGGGGCGAGCGUUGUCCGGAGUUACUGGGCGUAAAGCGCGCGCAGGCGGUCUGUUAAGUUUGGCGUGACAGUUGGUGGCUUAACUGCCAAAGUGCUUCGAAAACUGACAGACUUGAGGGCUUCAGAGGGACACGGAAUUCCGGGUGUAGCGGUGGAAUGCGUAGAGAUCCGGAAGAACACCAGUGGCGAAGGCGGCCCGCUGGGCAGUGGCUGACGCUGAGGCGCGACAGCGUGGGGAGCAAACAGG